rnacentral:rRNA from 1 species
UACGGGGGGGGUAAGCGUUGUUCGGAAUUACUGGGCGUAAAGGGCUCGUAGGCGGCCAACUAAGUCAGAUGUGAAAUCCCUCAGCUUAACUGGGGAACUGCGUCUGAUACUGGAUGGCUUGGAUCCGGGAGAGGGAUGCGGAAUUCCAGGUGUAGCGGUGAAAUGCGUAGAUAUCUGGAGGAACACCGGUGGCGAAGGCGGCAUCCUGGACCGGUAUUGACGCUGAGGAGCGAAAGCCAGGGGAGCAAACGGG